GCAGCUUUAGCUCAGUUGGGAGAGCGUACGACUGAAGUACCAAAACUCAGUCACCGAUAUCUGAAGGUCGCCCGUUCGAUCCGGGCAAGCUGCA